AUGGAGAUGGAGAGGGGAGGAGGGAAGGGAGAGGGAAGGCUGCGCGUGCGCGCUCGCGUACGCAGCCACGCAGGCGCGGAGAAGGGGCGCUCGGCUGUUGGCGGCCCCCACUCCCACCCCGGCGGCGUAGGGGAGCGCGCAGGCGCGCGCGGCCCCGCCGGAGCGGGGACGGGAGCGAGCGGCAGCGGCGGCGGCGGCGGCGGCGGCGCUGGGAGGAGUGAGCGGCCGGGUGGGCGUGGGUCGGGGCGGGUGGGAGGCUCGGCGUGUGUCCGGGAGGAGGGCGGGCCGCGCGGGCCCCACGUCCGCAGCCCGAGCCCGAGCCCAGAGCCCAGAGCCCAGAGCCGCCGCCUCCGGCCCCCAGGCCGACCAGCGAGCGCCGCGAGCCGCCGGGCCAGGGCCGCCGGUGAGUGCGGAGCGAGGCAGCCGGCCGGGACCUGCGUCCUCUGGAGGCCCCUGCCCGGCCCCCCCGGGGGCCGCUCCUCUCCCCAUCCGCCCUCGCGGCUCCCCAUCCUCGCCGGGGGCCCCGUGCCUCUCCCCGUCCUGGGGGAUCCCUGUCCUCUUACCCCAGGGUCCCCAAGCCUCUCCCCAUCCUUCCCGGGGGACCCCUGCACUCCUUCCCUGGAGUUCCCACUCUUCUCCCCAUCUAUCCCGGGGUCCCCAUUCCUCUCCCGAUGCAUUCUGGGGAAUCCCUGCACUCCUCCGCUGGGAUCCCCAUCCUUCCCGGGGGGAACCCUGCACUCCUACAAGAGGGUCACCAUCUCUCCCUCAGGGUCCCCAUUCCUCUCCCAAGGUUCCCAUUCUUUCCUUUUCUCUUGGGAGAUCCCGGACCCCUGGGAUCCUCAUCUCUCCCCUGAGGGUCCCCAUUCUUCUCCCCAUCCAUCCCAGGGGACCCCUGUCCUCCCCUGGAAUCCCCCUGCCUUUCCCCAGGGGUCCCUCUUCCUCCCCAGGGGUCCCUCUUCCUCUCCCGGGGUCCCCAUCUCUCCCAGGGGACCCUUAUCCCCCUCUCAGGGGGUCCCCAUCCCUCUCCUGGUGUCCCCCUGCUUCCCUCCCAUGGGGUCCUCCUCUUACCUCCUCCAUCCAACUCCCUUUUUCUUUUCUUCCUAG
rnacentral:lncRNA from 1 species